ensembl:ncRNA T19B10.16 ncRNA
CCGGCUCUGUACCGUGUGAGCACUUGAAAUCAUACGGAGCAGACAAUGAGUGCUAAUGUGAUAUGCAGAGAUUUAGAGAUAUGUUAACAGGACAAGCGAGACAAUCCUCGCAACACACCCAUCACUUUUU